GGGGGCAACGCUCAGUGGUAGAGCAUGCAAUUGCAGAUCGAGAGGUCCUCGGCUCAAACCCGAGAGCCCCCU